ACAGGAUUCCCCUAGUAACGGCGAGUGAAGCGGGAAGAGCUCAAGCUUAAAAUCUCUGUCACAAAUUUAUUUUGUGCGGCGAAUUGUAGUCUAUGGAGGCGUGAUCAGUGUAGGUACUUGAGAUAAGUUUCUUGAAAAAGAACAGCAUGGAGGGUGAAACUCCCGUUCAUACUUAAGUGGCUUGCAUGUACGAUCCGUUUUCUUUGAGUCGCGUUGUUUGAGAAUGCAGCGCAAAGUAGGUGGUAAAUUCCAUCUAAAGCUAAAUAUUGGUGCGAGACCGAUAGCGAACAAGUACCGUGAGGGAAAGAUGAAAAGAACUCUGAAAAGAGAGUUAAAGAGUACCUGAAACUGCUGAAAGGGAACCGAAUCGUUUCUAGUGUCUAUAAUCUAUGACAUAUUCCAUUGGGAAGUGUGUGCGUGUGUAUACUAUGGCAGCGGCUUUUUUUUAGUUGCGCUUGGUGUGCGUGCUGUAUGUGCUUUCUGGUGCCCUGUGUUAUAGUGUGACGUCAAGGUCAGUUUGUAUGCUGCGGGAAAUGGCUACUAGGGAGGUAGGGCUCGCGCUUGCGCUUGUCUAUUAUAUCUUGGUAGUUGUGUCGUGGUUGAGACUGAGGUGUUCUACAACGUGCUUAUGAGUGGGUCUGUGUCUCCGUGUGCGCCGUGUGCAGAUAGCUUGCUAUGUGUGUGUGGUGGUGUGUGGAUUGAUGUGGGCUUUAACUUGUCGCCGUUCGGGACUUUGACGAAAUAGAGCGAUUUGACCCGUCUUGAAACACGGACCAAGGAGUCUAACAUAUGUGCAAGUGUUAGGGUGUGGAAACCCCAGCGCGAAAUGAAAGUAAAGGAUACUGAAAAGUAUCUGAGGUAGGAAAUGCUAUGGACUUCUGUUUAUGGUGUGGCACUAUCGACCGAUCAUGAACCCUCGUGGUGAAAGAUUUGAGUUUGAGCACAUAUGUUGGUACCCGAAAGAUGGUGAACUAUGCCUGAGUAGGGUGAAGCCAGGGAAACUC
rnacentral:rRNA from 1 species